GUCCUCGUAGCCCAGUGGAUAGAGCGUCCGGUUGCGGUCCGGAAGGUCGCAGGUUCGAUUCCUGCCGAGGACACCA
rnacentral:tRNA from 1 species